GUUGGAUGUUUUUUCUAGAUCAAGUUAGGCUUUUAUGCAAUAUUUUUUGUUCUAAAAUUUCUUUUCAGAAAAUGAUGUUUGCAGCAAUAUUUGUUUGUCUAUUUUUAAUUGCAAUGGUCAUUUUAUAAUUCUAUCUCAAUAGGUAAUAAAAUCUUGAAAUGAAUCGCCAUGUUUUACGCCCAUCAUUUGACAUCCCCCGCCUUUCAUUCGACAUUCAAAUUAAAGUCAAUGCGUGCUGCUGAAUUGCACCGCAUGCGAUGUGCAACCCAGAAGUUGCCGUGGCCGUUCGCUCCCGCAUUGCAACAUCUCUUGAUAAAUUUGUUUUACUCGAACGUUAGAGUUACAGUUAAAGAUGGCAUGAAUAAAGUAGAAAACUUAAAUAUGUGGCAAUAUAUUUUGUUACUUGUCAUAAUUUGGUGAAAAUGGCAUGGAUCUCCCUUUAGCUGUAAAAUGUCUUAAAGUGAUUUUUGUACUUUGUAAUUUCAGAGGCCUAUGGAGCUGAGUGAGGAUGAGGAUCCAGUUUUGCAAGAUAAAACGACACCAAAACCAAGAAAGAGGGUCAGAUGCCCCUAUGAAUUUGAUGUUGAAAGCAUCAUUUUGAAAGGUAGAAACGGAAGGGGCUUGCUGGAGGCAUUAACUCGAGGACGGGUUCUAAACAACAGCGAGAGAAUUCAACUCAACUGAGUGUUGGUUAACCAUCUAAUUGAAGAGCAUUGAUGGAACCCACCAUCACAAGUGAAGGAAAGCCUUGCGCACAGCCUUCUGGAUCAAUUCAAAAUUUUGAAGGACAUCAACGGAAUCACAGGAUAUGUAAGUAUCUUGUAUUCUUGUUUUGUGGUGCUGUGGAAGCAAGGAUAGCAAACAUAAGAAAAGCAGCCCGAAACAAUAGCCCUUUGAUGUAAAACAAUGCACUAGUUGAACUUUUAAUUUGGUCUCAAAAGAUGCUCGAGACUUGAAAGUAUAAUCUCUGUGAGCGGCACGGUCAAAAAAUUUCGGGCAGCGGAAUUACCACGGAAAAGG